CGUAGUUGAACUUCAGACCUGGCUGGGUGGUCCGCUUAACGGCGUGUACUGCUUGGCUGGGCCUUACUUCUUGGUGAGCCGGCGUGCCCUUUAUUGGUGUGCGUCGGGGAACCAGGACUUUUACCUUGAGAAAAUUAGAGUGUUCAAAGCAGGCCUAUGCCUGAAUACAUUAGCAUGGAAUAAUAGAAUAGGACGUGCGGUUCUAUUUUGUUGGUUUCUAGAGUCGCCGUAAUGAUUAAUAGGGACAGUUGGGGGCAUUGGUAUUGAGUCGCUAGAGGUGAAAUUCUUGGAUCGUCGCAAGACGGACAGAAGCGAAAGCAUUUGCCAAAAAUGUUUUCAUUAAUCAAGAACGAAAGUUAGAGGUUCGAAGGCGAUCAGAUACCGCCCUAGUUCUAACCAUAAACGAUGCCAGCUAGCGAUCCGCCGAAGUUCCUCCGAUGACUCGGCGGGCAGCUUCCGGGAAACCAAAGCUUUUGGGUUCCGGGGGAAGUAUGGUUGCAAAGCUGAAACUUAAAGGAAUUGACGGAAGGGCACCACCAGGAGUGGAGCCUGCGGCUUAAUUUGACUCAACACGGGAAACCUCACCAGGCCCAGACACCGGAAGGAUUGACAGAUUGAUAGCUCUUUCUUGAUUCGGUGGGUGGUGGUGCAUGGCCGUUCUUAGUUGGUGGAGCGAUUUGUCUGGUUAAUUCCGAUAACGAACGAGACUCUAGCCUGCUAAAUAGGCGUACCUUAUGGUAUCGCGAAGGCCCCCGGCUUCGGCCGGUGGGUUUUUACUACCAACGUACAAACAAAUCUUCUUAGAGGGCACAGGCGG
rnacentral:rRNA from 1 species